GUAGGGAGGUGCCAAGGAUCCCGGACAGCACUGACUCUAUCCACACGCUCAUUGUUGUUACAGAAUUCAACCCAAAUAAUCAAAGCCUGAAUCGAAAACAAUGGUUUUUGUAUUUAUUAUAAUGAACCGAAACCCAACCCUGUCCACACGCCCAGUACUUAACUUUUCAACACACCCUCUUGACCAUAGUCCGGUUUCGGUAUCGAGCUGCAGCUCCCUACUUCUCAAUGCGAACGUGAGUAGAUUACCUCGAAAACAACGGUCGGACAUCUAGGAAGCAGUCUCCAGUUUGUAUUAUACCUCGGUGGUGUAGAAGGAACAAAUAUCGACCGGAUCUUGAUCGGACGACGAGAACAACAACGUGUUAAAGGUGUAACCAAGGCUUCUGAGAACACAGAGAAACAUGGCUACAGUCUUCAUCUGUUCCGUCUGUACCGAAGUCUUCGUUGGACAUAUAUCGCUGAGCUGCAAGCACACCUUCUGUGAACGUUGCCUCCAGAAGUGUAUGGACGCUGGUUGCGUUAUCUGUCCGGUGUGCGGGGAUCCAAUCACGUCGGAGAACAUCAGAGUCAACAGAAUACUAAGGGACAUGGCAGACGAAGUGAGACAGAGAAGAGUUGAUCUCAGAGUAUUGAAGAGGAAUGAGGACUUUGUGAAUAACUGGGAAACCAACAAGAAGAAGGAGAAUGUGAAAACGUCAAAGUCCUUGGUGAAGGAAGGCCUGGCUGCCAGAAAGACAGAGAGGAAGUUAAAGUCAUCUCUGACCACUGGUCCCUGGGAGGGUAUAGUUUUUGGCAUUAUGGCCUUUUAUUGCUUUAUUUCUGUUCUUACUUAUGUUGUCCUUCCUUGUGUGGAAUAUGUGUCUGUAACAAUGUCAGGAAAUGCAGCCAAGGUGUUCGGAUCCCCUUUGGUGUUCAUGUCUAUGUUUGUUGUCUUCGGUGUUGUUGCUCAUUUAGUGGAUUUUGUGUUGAAAAAGAUUGACUUAAAAUCUGUUUUAUAUAGUAAUAACUGAUUGAUUGCUUUUAUGCAGUGUUGGAGAGUCAUUGGAUGUAGCGAACUUCCUUUCCCAGCAGGUUGGUGGUAGUUGAACAACUUUUUUGAAAUGAAUUAUAUUAUUGAGUUGACUUACAUCUGCAGGUUUAUGCCCAGUUUAUUGAUGCUAUGAUAAGUGCAGUAGAUUUUAGUUGUAAAAUGAAUGUUGUGAAGUAUGCUUUAAACUGCUAACUGAUUAUAUGGAAGGAAAAGGGCAAUGAGUUUUGAUGUAAAACUUUUUCCUGUAAAUAUUCAGCAUUAUAAUGGCACCAGAGUUUCCAGCUUAAAUACUGUAAUUUUGCUUUACAGCAGAGAUGCUGUAAUAUAUUUUACAGUAACCUCUUUUCCAUACUAUAAAACACAUUACAGAAUACAGCAUCCCUGCUUUAAAUUUACAGCUGUAAGGUUUUUACAGUAGUAGUAUUCAAUGUCGGGAUUCGUGUCCCCACAACUGCAGUGGGGUUGCCAACAAUAUUAUUUGAAAUGUUUUAUAUUAUUAUUUAGUGUUAUUAUUUUUAUUUAAACAAUAUAGAAACAUUUUUGAGAAAAAUGGGUUCCCUGCUGAAAAGGUUUAAAUACCAUUGUUUUACAGUAAGGAAAAUACUACUGUAAAAUAUAUUACAGCAUACCUGCUGUAAAGCAGAAUUACAGUAUUUAAGCUGGAAACUCUGGUGCCAUUACAAUGCUGAAUAUUUACAGUGAAAUUCUACCUGAAAUCUAAAUACAAAGAUAUAUAUACAAAUGUACAUAAAAUACAUGUAUUCAAAUAGCUGACAACAUUAGCUACAAAUGAACAAUAUAAUUGACAAUGGAAGUAACAACAGUUAUGACGUAUGUAACCAAAUAAGUGCAUCAUUACAACACUAA